GGUGAAAGGGUGGGGUAAGAGCCCACCGCGCGACUGGCAACAGGAGCGGCACGGCAAACCCCACCGGGAGCAAGACCGAAUAGGGGCGGUGCGAAGGGAAACCUUCGAGGGCUGUUUCCGGCCCACCGUCCGGGUAGGUUGCGUGAGGCGCAUGGCGACAUGCGCCCAAGAUGAAUGGCCGCCACGUUCCCGCGCCGCAAGGCGCGGGGCCAUACAGAACCCGGCUUACAGGCCAGCUGGCAUU
rnacentral:RNase_P_RNA from 1 species